rnacentral:pre_miRNA from 1 species
AGGUCCGGAUGGGCGACAAUAUUGUGUAGCGAACAAUAUUGCACUCGUCCCGGCCUAU